rnacentral:rRNA from 1 species
UGGGGGGAACCCUGAUCCAGCCAUGCCGCGUGUGUGAAGAAGGCCUUUUGGUUGUAAAGCACUUUAAGCGAGGAGGAGGCUACUCUAGUUAAUACCUAGGGAUAGUGGACGUUACUCGCAGAAUAAGCACCGGCUAACUCUGUGCCAGCAGCCGCGGUAAUACAGAGGGUGCAAGCGUUAAUCGGAUUUACUGGGCGUAAAGCGCGCGUAGGUGGCCAAUUAAGUCAAAUGUGAAAUCCCCGAGCUUAACUUGGGAAUUGCAUUCGAUACUGGUUGGCUAGAGUAUGGGAGAGGAUGGUAGAAUUCCAGGUGUAGCGGUGAAAUGCGUAGAGAUCUGGAGGAAUACCGAUGGCGAAGGCAGCCAUCUGGCCUAAUACUGACACUGAGGUGCGAAAGCAUGGGGAGCAAACAGGAUUAGAUACCCUGGUAGUCCAUGCCGUAAACGAUGUCUACUAGCCGUUGGGGCCUUUGAGGCUUUAGUGGCGCAGCUAACGCGAUAAGUAGACCGCCUGGGGAGUACGGUCGCAAGACUAGAACUCAAAUGA